CUGCGGAUAUUAUCAAAGCAAAUUACGUAGCACCAUUUAGAGGCAAUUUCACCCUUUUAACCUGUCUAAUGUGUAUAAACGAGCCACAUUACUAGAAGCACUGGCCAUAUAAACAGCUCACUGAUAGGAUUGCGGAGUUGCAUUCAGAUCAACGGGAUUUAACAAGAACACAAUUUAUCUAACAUAUUUCCCGACAAACAAAAGAUGGAAACCAAGACCCUAGUAGCUUUGUUUUUGGUUUCGUGCAUUUUUCUCUCCGUUUGUUUUCAACCCGCCGCCUCUCAAGGUCUCCGAUGGGGAAGAGAAUAUGAAGAGAAAGAAGAAGGCCAUCGAAUGAAUCCGGUGAAGGCCGAUUAUCUCAAGCGAAAAGAGAUGCACAGGACAUUCGAAGACGCCGCAGAGAACGCCGACUAUGAUUUGAACAGACGCUGAUUUCUACUGGAAUAUCCGAUACACCAAAAUGGACUGGACUGGACAUUUGAUUAACUGAUUGAGCUUUCGUACCCUGUUACUAUGGAAAAAUUUACUUUUAAUUGCUGCAUGAGUACCCUGUAGAGUAGAUGAGUUAAGCUUGUAAAUUAGUUUAAAAUCAUAAAGCAAUAAAACGCAAUCUGAACGAUGUCAGAAUAAAAAGGAACGAGA